UAACUACUCCCUCCGUCCGGAAUUACUUGUCGCGAAAAUGGAUGUAUCUAGACGUAUUUUAAUUCUAGAUACAUUCAUUUCCGAGACAAGUAAUUCCAAACGGAGGGAGUAGAUU
rnacentral:pre_miRNA from 1 species